GGGUCUGUAAGUUAAAAAAAGACUAAAGAACUGCAAAUUCUAAAGUAUCAAAAGUGAGGAUUGAUCGGUCUCG
rnacentral:tRNA from 1 species